ACGAACGCUGGCGGCGUGCUUAACACAUGCAAGUCGAACGGUGAAGCGCCUUCCUUUUUGGUGGGUGUGGAUGAGUGGCGACCGGGUGAGUAACACGUGAGUAACCUGCCCCCUUCUUCUGGAUAACCGCAUGAAAGUGUGGCUAAUACGGGAUAUUCUGGGUCUGUCGCAUGAUGGGUCUGGGAAAGAUAUUGUUUCGGUGGGGGAUGGGCUCGCGGCCUAUCAGCUUGUUGGUGGGGUGAUGGCCUACCAAGGCGGUGACGGGUAGCCGGCCUGAGAGGGUGGACGGUCACACUGGGACUGAGACACGGCCCAGACUCCUACGGGAGGCAGCAGUGGGGAAUAUUGCACAAUGGGCGCAAGCCUGAUGCAGCGACGCCGCGUGAGGGAUGGAGGCCUUCGGGUUGUGAACCUCUUUCGCCAGUGAAGCAGGCCUGCCUCGUUUGUGGGUGGGUUGACGGUAGCUGGAUAAGAAGCGCCGGCUAACUACGUG
rnacentral:rRNA from 1 species